GGAGGAAAAGAAACUAACAAGGAUUCCCCUAGUAACUGCGAGUGAAGAGGGAAGAGCUCAAAUUUCGAAUCUGGCGGUCUUUGGCCGUCCGAGUUGUAAUCUAGAGAAGCGUCGUCCGCGCUGGACCGUGUAUAAGUCUCCUGGAAGGGAGCGUCGUAGAGGGUGAGAAUCCCGUCUUUGACACGGACUACCAGUGCUAUGUGAUGCGCUCUCGACGAGUCGAGUUGUUUGGGAAUGCAGCUCAAAAUGGGUGGUAAAUUCCAUCUAAAGCUAAAUACAGGCGAGAGACCGAUAGCGAACAAGUACCGUGAGGGAAAGAUGAAAAGAACUUUGGAAAGAGAGUUAAACAGUACGUGAAAUUGCUGAAAGGGAAACGCUUGAUGUCAGUCGCGUCGGCCGGGGAUCAACCUUGCUUCUCUGCUGGGUGUACUUCCUGGUCGACGGGUCAGCAUCAGCUUCGGUCGCCGUACAAGGGCGAGGGGAACGUGGCACUCUUCGGAGUGUGUUAUAGCCUUUCGUCGUAUGCGGCGGUCGGGACUGAGGAACUCAGCACGGCUUCGGUUUGUGCUUAGGAUGCUGGCAUAAUGGCCUUAAGCGACCCGUCUUGAAACACGGACCAAGGAGUCUAACAUGCCUGCGAGUGUUUGGGUGGCAAACCCGAGCGCGCAAUGAAAGUGAAAGUUGAGACCUCUGUCGUGGAGGGCAUCGACGCCCGGACCUGAGUCUUCGACGACGGAUCUGCGGUAGAGCACGUAUGUUGGGACCCGAAAGAUGGUGAACUAUGCCUGAAUAGGGUGAAGCCAGAGGAAACUCUGGUGGAGGCUCGUAGCGAUUCUGACGUGCAAAUCGAUCGU
rnacentral:rRNA from 1 species